AGAGUUUGAUCAUGGCUCAGGACGAACGCUGGCGGCGUGCUUAACACAUGCAAGUCACGGGGGUCCCGGGGGCAACUCUGGGAUAACCGGCGAACGGGUGCGUAACACGUGAACAACCUGCCCUCGUGUGGGGGAUAGCCGGGCUAACGCCCGGGUAAUACCGCAUACGUUCUCGUGGGGGAGUCCCGCGGGAGGAAAGCUCCGGCGCACGGGGAGGGGUUCGCGGCCUAUCAGCUGGUUGGCGGGGUAACGGCCCACCAAGGCGACGACGGGUAGCUGGUCUGAGAGGACGAUCCCCCACACUGGAACUGAAACACGGUCCAGACGCCUACGGGUGGCAGCAGGGAGGAAUAUUGGGCAAUGGGCGAAAGCCUGACCCAGCAACGCCGCGUGGAGGACGAAGGCCUUCGGGUCGUAAACUCCUUUUGAGGGAGACGAGCAAGGACGGUAUCCCUCGAAUAAGCCACGGCUAACUACGUGCCAGCAGCCGCGGUAAUAC
rnacentral:rRNA from 1 species